rnacentral:tRNA from 1 species
UCUAAUAUGGCAGAAUAGUGCCUUGGAUUUAAACCCCAAUUAUAAAACUCUAAGUUUUUAUUAGAA